rnacentral:rRNA from 1 species
UACGAAGGGGGCUAGCGUUGCUCGGAAUGACUGGGCGUAAAGGGCGCGUAGGCGGACGGCUUUGUCGGGCGUGAAAUUCCAGGGCUUAACCUUGGGGCUGCGUUCGAGACGGGUUGUCUAGAGUUUGGAAGAGGGUCGUGGAAUUCCCAGUGUAGAGGUGAAAUUCGUAGAUAUUGGGAAGAACACCAGUGGCGAAGGCGGCUCACUGGUCCGAUACUGGCGCUGAGGUGCGAAAGCGUGGGGAGCAAACAGG